GCAGGAAUAGCUCAGGGGUAGAGCAUGUUCUUGGCAUGCACAAGGUCCUGGGUUCAAUUCCCAGUGCCUCUG
rnacentral:tRNA from 1 species